UACGUAGGGACCAAGCGUUGUUCGGAAUUACUGGGCGUAAAGAGCUCGUAGGCGGCUUGUCGCGUUGUUCGUGAAAAUUUACCGCUCAACGGUGAACUUGCGGGCGAUACGGGCAGGCUAGAGUACUGCAGGGGAGACUGGAAUUCCUGGUGUAGCGGUGAAAUGCGCAGAUAUCAGGAGGAACACCGGUGGCGAAGGCGGGUCUCUGGGCAGUAACUGACGCUGAGGAGCGAAAGCGUGGGGAGCGAACAGG
rnacentral:rRNA from 1 species